CAACCCCCUCAGUGCCAGUGGCUUCCCUCUCCUGGCUCAGAGGCCAGAGGAAGGGCGAGAGGUCCUGGGAGCGCGGCGCUGAGGACCCAUGGCCAUGAACUUCCAGGACAAUGUGACCCUGGCCAUCACCGUCUUCACCAUCUUCGCCUCCAUCUACUUCUUCAACAAGGCUCAGCAGUGACACCCGCCGGCUCACCCGCCCAGGGCUGGCCGCUGCCCGCCAGCACUGCCACAAUGGCCUCUGAGAACAAAUAAACGGAGUGGUACCAGCACA